rnacentral:rRNA from 1 species
UCAGAAUGAACGCUGGCGGCAUGCCUAACACAUGCAAGUCGAACGAGACCUUCGGGUCUAGUGGCGCACGGGUGCGUAACGCGUGGGAAUCUGCCCCUUGGUUCGGAAUAACAGCGAGAAAUUGCUGCUAAUACCGGAUAAUGACGUGAGUCCAAAGAUUUAUCGCCUAGGGAUGAGCCCGCGUAGGAUUAGCUAGUUGGUGUGGUAAAGGCGCACCAAGGCGACGAUCCUUAGCUGGUCUGAGAGGAUGAUCAGCCACACUGGGACUGAGACACGGCCCAGACUCCUACGGGAGGCAGCAGUGGGGAAUAUUGGACAAUGGGCGAAAGCCUGAUCCAGCAAUGCCGCGUGAGUGAUGAAGGCCUUAGGGUUGUAAAGCUCUUUUACCCGGGAUGAUAAUGAC